GACGAACGCUGGCGGCGUGCUUAACACAUGCAAGUCGAACGGAAAGGCCCUGCUUUUGUGGGGUGCUCGAGUGGCGAACGGGUGAGUAACACGUGAGUAACCUGCCCUUGACUUUGGGAUAACUUCAGGAAACUGGGGCUAAUACCGGAUAGGAGCUCCUGCUGCAUGGUGGGGGUUGGAAAGUUUCGGCGGUUGGGGAUGGACUCGCGGCUUAUCAGCUUGUUGGUGGGGUAGUGGCUUACCAAGGCUUUGACGGGUAGCCGGCCUGAGAGGGUGACCGGCCACAUUGGGACUGAGAUACGGCCCAGACUCCUACGGGAGGCAGCAGUGGGGAAGAUUGCACAAUGGGCGGAAGCCUGAUGCAGCAACGCCGCGUGCGGGAUGACGGCCUUCGGGUUGUAAACCGCUUUCGCCUGUGACGAAGCGUGAGUGACGGUAAUGGGAAAAGAAGCACCAGCUAACUACGUG
rnacentral:rRNA from 1 species